UGGGGAAUAUUGGACAAUGGGCGCAAGCCUGAUCCAGCCAUGCCGCGUGUGUGAAGAAGGCCUUUUGGUUGUAAAGCACUUUAAGCGAGGAGGAGGCUACUUGGAUUAAUACUCUAGGAUAGUGGACGUUACUCGCAGAAUAAGCACCGGCUAACUCUGUGCCAGCAGCCGCGGUAAUACAGAGGGUGCGAGCGUUAAUUGGAUUUACUGGGCGUAAAGCGUGCGUAGGCGGCUUUUUAAGUCGGAUGUGAAAUCCCUGAGCUUAACUUAGGAAUUGCAUUCGAUACUGGGAAGCUAGAGUAUGGGAGAGGAUGGUAGAAUUCCAGGUGUAGCGGUGAAAUGCGUAGAGAUCUGGAGGAAUACCGAUGGCGAAGGCAGCCAUCUGGCCUAAUACUGACGCUGAGGUACGAAAGCAUGGGGAGCAAACAGG
rnacentral:rRNA from 1 species